AUCCGUGCAGCGGUAUUCGUCCAGCAGUCCGUGCAGCGGUAUUCGUCCAGCAGUCCGUGCAGCGGUAUUCGUCCAGCAGUCCGUGCAGCGGUAUUCGUCCAGCAGUCCGUGCAGCGGUAUUCGUCCAGCAGUCCGUGCAGCGGUAUUCGUCCAGCAGUCCGUGCAGCGGUAUUCGUCCAGCAGUCCGUGCAGCGGUAUUCGUCCAGCAGUCCGUGCAGCAUUAUUCGUCCAGCAGUCCGUCCAGAGGAAUUCCUCCAGCAGAAAGGCCGAUCUGCCGCCGGUAUCAGUGCAGAGGAAUUUAUACAGCAGAAAGGCCGAUCUGA